GGGCAUGUGGUCUAGUGGCUAUGACAACUCCCUCACACGGAGUAGGUCGCAGGUUCGAUUCCUGCUUUGCCCACCA
rnacentral:tRNA from 1 species